GCAUAAACACAAUCUUUUAGUCCUAAGUUGGCUUAUUUUAGCCAAAAAUAUGCGAUACUUUGCUAGAUCUGCAUGCAAUUAGGCCAAAGAUGAGAGAGCAUUUUUACUCUCCUGAACAAAUAUAAUCAUGGAAACAACAAAGGCAAUGGUCAAUUUUUUUUUUUGGCAGAUCAAGAAUGUAUGAUUAAAAGACUUCAAUGGGUGUUCAAAGAAAAAAGUUUUGGCAGCUUGGGAUCCAAAUGAGGCAUGUAAAUUGGAGCCUUGUUCUACAUGGAAACAGCCAGCGUAACCGAAAAUUUGUAUCAUAACUCUCUAGUCUGCAAAGUUUUUUUUAGUAAAUGUAGGUGGUCUUUGUUUUCUAUACUAGGUUCAGUUCAUCAGUUGCCUAUGUAUGUACAAAAAUUAUUCAGUAUUGUGUGCCGCAAGUGAAUCAGGACACCUGCAUAUCAAAGUUAACACAAGACAAGAAAUCUACAUUUGUCCUCUAGCCAAAGUAGUCCAAAUAAUCUUUUUUGAACCCCAUCAUCAUUUGUGAGAAAUAUGACCAAAAUGUCUGUUUUAAACUAGGAUGGGAGAGGAGAGAGAGUUUCAACAGCAAUCUAGAAGUAGUUCUAAGGCAUCUCUUUUGGCCACCAGAUACAUUUCUAAGUUCAUUCAUGGCUACAUGUUAUGCCCACCUAUAAGAAGCCAAAUCCUCCCAAAUGAGGUGCACCUUCGACUGGCUCAACCACUAGGCUACUUAUCCCAUGCCUAUGGCCCACCAAGAAAUUUUUUAAAAAUUCUUACUGUCAAAUGUCCCAAUUGUUCAAAGGCACAAGGCCUCAUUUCGAUGUUUAGUCUAAAGUCUCAAAAACCUUUGGGCCACUGCUGACUCCACAUAGAAUUGGUAGACAAAGCACAACGCUUCUCCAAUCUGUACUCCCAGAAAGUUGGCUCCAAGACAAGCACUCACUUAUAGCCCCUAAUAUGGUUUUCCAAAUACCUGUAAAAUAGCCCCUUGGGAUCAUAACAAGAUGCUCCUCCAGGUACCAAGCUCAGAAAUCUGACCAGUCACUGCAUCUGUUGUUUAGAGCCCUGUUCUUCUUCCUUUCCUUUUUUUUUUUUUGAUAAAUAUAAAUUUAGUUCUUCUUCUUUGCCCACACCAAAUAUCUUCUUUUGGAAUCAGUAACCAAAUUAGUGCUCUGAUAGGUCCACAAACUGUAUCUAAGAUUUUAGUUUUUGCUUUGUAUUUAUUGUUAAUAUUAAGGGUAGGUUUGGUUGCUUCAUUACAAUGCGAGCAUAGAGGGUUCAAACCACGAAAACAACCUCUCCACAGGAGGGGUAAAGUUGCAUACAUCUAGAGUUAUUAGCCAAACCCAAGUUGUGUCAAAAACUAUUUUUCAAUUACAAAUUGUUUUGAAUUUAUUUUCCAAACCCAGAUUGCUUUCUGAAAAUCAUGUUUCGAAAACACAACUUUACGCUCGAAGCUGGCAUUUUCAAAACACAACUUCAAAAAAAAUUGCUUGGCUUCAGAAAAAAAUGUUUCAAAACUACACUUUAUUUGUAUUAUUAACACUAUAUUUUUGGGUUAAUGAACUGUGUUACAGGUAAACAAAGAAACUACUUCUAAUCACCUAAUUCAAAGAAAGGAACUAAAUAAGAAUUUUAAGUAGGAUCACACCCCUAUAUCACACAGAAUUGAACAAUCAAAGCUAAAUUCAGAGUCUAAAAAAAAGUCUACCCAACCACCAUACAUAUAAAUCAAUGAAGUUCCACAAUCAAAAUCAUCUGAUUAAAAAAAUGAACACAAACCCUAGACAACAAAUUAACAAUCAAACAAGAAACAGAGUGAGGCCAACAAUGUCUAAUUUUACAGAGAAAAAAAAAAAAA